rnacentral:lncRNA from 7 species
AAUGCCACAGCAUUCAUCUGAGCAGCUCCCCUUAAGGCAGGGCAAUUUCAGCAGAAGCUACUUCAAUCCCCAAAGAGCCCUCAUCUCAGUGACCAAACCACUUUUUAUCCAUAUUGGUGGCCUUCUUUGACAGAAAAGCUACCAGGAAACCUGCACCAGAGAAACUACCAUUUGUUACUAUUCCUCUACGUCAAUUACUUGGGCCUAUUCAGACCUGCACCCUUGUUUAUCAACUCUUGGCAAGCACAGUGAGGUGGUUAAAGCCCUGAUGCUCAAGUUUAUGACUUAAAUCAGUGGGAUUAUUCAUGAGGUCAGAGAUAACCAUGUGCUUUUAUAGUUGGCUGGAAUGGCGUCUAAAGCUGACAGCUGCGAGUCAAAAGCUCUGAGUCAUUGGGUCCCUCCUCACCUUCCUGUGUGACCAGUCUACCUGUGUCUGCUUCCUUGCCUGCCGCACAGGGAGGAUGACAAUCGCUUUUAUCCGGUGGUUACUUUCAAAUGGUCCUAAAGGCCUCUUUCAGUCUGCUGAAAAUUCAGUAGGAGGUGGACUAGCGUGAAAAAGACAGCAAGAUAUUUAACUAAUGAAAGCGCUGUAGCUCAGGAAAGCUGUAACAUCCUUUCUUCCUGCCCAUAUUCACACACAGCAGAGAUUGCUGCAAAUUUUUCUGCAAGCAGAGAGAAGUGGAAAGCCAUAAAAAGGCUGAGACGAGUCUCUCUGAGCCAAAGAAAAACUCACGCGGUGUGGAGGUUUGGGUGCUCAGUACAGCAGGUUGCUGUGCUAGCAGGUUCCCAGCAGUAGCUACACCUUAAAAGAAGGCUCGUUCAAUUAAAAAUCAUGACCUUGAUUCUGCAAACAACUUCUUUGCAUACGUAGUUUGUAAAUGGAAAAGAUGUGGAAAAACAAGAGAGGAGAAAGAGACUAAGGGAGAGCCAAUUGCAUACAUUUCGUCCCCCUAGAUACAGCGGUUCCCCAUGGAAGUGACUGAGAGGACUUCACAUUUGUCCUCUGCUUGGAUAGGGUGAAAAACUUUGUAAGCAUUGUAGACAGCUGCUGUACCCAUGUGCAAAUGUAAGGCUGAACCCCUAGAGAGGAACUGCGGGCGUCCUCCCAGCUGCCCCGUGCUUUCGCAGGCAUUCGUAAAUACAAUUGCUCUCACUUUCCAUUGAUAGAAAUCAAAAAGCAAUUAAGAAUCAAGCUCUUCAAAUUGAUAGGUCUCCUGAAUUUGAAACAUUUUCCAUUCUUUGGCUGGUAUCACUGCCUAGAUUAGAUUAUUUUGUUAAAGCACAUGGUCAGUGUCAAUGGGACUCAGCAUCUGCUGGAGUGGAAGACUGUACCCCAGUGGAAGGUAACAAAUCUGAAAGCCCCUACACAGUGAUAUUUCAUCACACUGCCCAUCCAGAAUUUCUUACAGGGCAUCCAGUCCAUAGCCACUUCAUCAACUGAUUCAUAGAUACCAAAUGUUGAUACAAUACCUUUAAGAGAAAUGUUGACUGUUUUCCACGGGCAGUUUUCUGCAGUCUCGGAGAAGCUCUACUCAACAUUUCUUUUGAGAUUCGAAGGAAUUUGAUGAACAUUUUGCUGUUGCCCAUUUCUGACUUCUGAUUUCAGCAGGGACUGGAGGAGCACUUGAUGAGUAUGGCUUUUUUGUUAUUUACAGCCUUGUCAAAACGAUGAAGUAGCAGGAAUCUCCUUGGAGAGCAAUGUAUCACAACAUUUUUCAAGACAGUUUCCAAAUCGAAGAUGACUUCCAAGGAACAGCAAGGAUGUAAUCUUGGAGCCAAUCAAACCAGUGGCAAAAAUCCCACUUUCUGCAUGAUCUUCUUAAUGCAGCCUCUGACAUUUUGGAGCUUCAUAUAUUAUGGUUAAAAGCUCUUAUCCUAUCAGCUGAAGUGAAUCAAGGUGGGAGGAGGUGAAGCAAUUGGAACAGGCAGUUUUUAAGGCUGCGCUGAGUAUAAGGGGAGUUAAGUGGAGAUAUGCCCCAAACAGAACCAGUGGACCUGGUGUCACACCUAACAGUUGUGUGAAGCAGCGCCCUAUCCCCUGGUAUUGCCAGGAGGAGCCGUGGAAGGAGGAAAUUCAAAGAGGAGCUCAACCACCCUUCUGGAGGCCAGAAAACCCACUAUUGUCACGACGCAGUUUCACUGAUGAUUGCUAGAGUGGUGGAGUUCUAUUUUGCUCCUGCUGCUUUUCCAGGCCCUGUUGUCCUUGACCACCCUUGGUAACAUUUCUGCUAUUGCUCCUGCAUCAGCUCAUCUCUUUUGUUUCUCAGUGAGCAAAAAAGUGCACAACAUUGAAGCUGAACGCUCAUCUGUGCCUGGUGCACUGUCCCUGUCUGAUUUGCUCCCUACGACUGCAUUUCCCUUUUCAUGGCUACAGCAUAGUUGUGGCUCAAAGUCACCCUGUGAUUAGAGUACAUCGAAGUCUUCUUCCUCCCCAAGCAGCUUUAAGUGCAUGGCUCAUACCAAAUGUUUUCUUAGUAACAAUACCCAGCUCUGCGGUGAUCUGCAUGAGCUAUGGGUCUGGGCCCCUUCUCCAGAAGAGUCAGACUUUGCCAGCUGACACCAGCUGCAGAACCAGUUCUCAGUAUUCAGUGCACUUGGGGAGAAAGAAACAAGUAGUAAACCAAAGACAAACAGAGCUACAGUCAAACGUAUUAUAACACUACCAACCAAGACAGCUGCUUCUGCCAACAUGGAAACAAGAUAGGAACUAGAGUGUUUCUAUUUUUGCAUUCAAAUAGAAACAGAUGGAGAGGACUUGGGGAAUUUAUCAAACCAAAUAAAUAUUUUUCAUU